AAUUGGCUUAGUAUCACGUGCUGCAGAAGGUAACAAUAGUGGCAUAUUUGGGCCAUUUGCUUACAGAAGGGUCCACUACGCCUCUGAUGCAUCAGUAUGAGUAUCAAAUGCUCCAAUGGCAUAAUUCCAUACCGUUACUUGUUGAACACAAAGAGAUAGAACCCUGUACGUGGCUGACCCACCAGCACCAGCCCUUAUAUUUCCUAACUUGGUAUAAAUUUCAGUAAUGGCUGCACCACUUCAUCCACAAGAAUUGUAACUAAGCCCAGCAUCCAAAUUUAUAUCCCAGUUUGCUUUGGUUCUUGAAUUAUUGCUCGGCCACCAACACAUUUUUAGCGAUAGCUCUCAAAAAUUUCUUUCCAGAAGUUAAAUCUCUUUAGCCAUGCUAGAAGGCAGGGCAGUUGUCGGUGAGACUGAUAUGCUUCAAACCAUGCAACAAGAUGCUCUGGAUCUUGGAGCCAAAGCCCUUGAUUUCUUUGAUGUCACAGAGGCUACUGAGAUUGCUUGUUUCAUUAAGAAGGUAAAAUUUUAACCCCCUACCAAUUAAUUAGGCUAUGUUCAGUUCUAAUAAUAAUAAGAUUUAUUUAUUUUUUUAAUGGAAAUUGCUGAAUUUUUCGUUGUUUUUGAGGCAGCAGUUUGAUACGACAUAUGGACCUGGAUGGCAAUGCAUUAUAGGAACAGAUUUUGGGUCUUUUGUAACCCACUGCUGUGGAUGUUUUAUUUAUUUUCAGAUUGAAAGCCUCGCAAUUUUGCUUUUCAGGGGCUGUGCUGCUCCUGAACCUACGGCUAACCAAUUUACGGAAUUAGAGACCUUGGAUACUGUGACAGUGUAACGUUUGUUUCCUUGGCAAUCCAAUAUUAUUCUGCUUUCCUUGUAACUGGUUCUUGUAGUUUAGAAAACGGAAAUGGAAAUUAAAAGAAAAAUUCCUUCAUUUUCAAUUUUUUUAUCAUUAGUAAUCUUAAUUUGCCUUGAAUAUACAGUCAAGGUGAUUGUCAUAUUCCUUUGUAAUAGUAGAAAACAAAGCUUUUUUGGCCGAGGUUGAAAAAGAAAUGUCUGCAAAUGAAACACAUCAUCGCUUCUAAACCACAAAUUUUGUUGUAUGACCAUAAGAUAUACUGGCGAAGAAGCCAUGAUCAUAUCAUUUCUCAAUUAAUUUUUCUAAUUAUAAUUUCAUUAUUCUUUGUUUGCAA
rnacentral:misc_RNA from 1 species